rnacentral:rRNA from 1 species
GGAAUGGGGGCGCCUAUUGGCGGAGACACGCUGCGACCCACAAUUGGUAGCACGCGUGCAGCCCAGAACAUCUAGUCGGGAUUGGGGACUGCAACGGUCCCCAUGAACCUGGAAUUUCUAGUAAGCACUAGUCAUUAGCUAGUGCUGAUUAC